AUCCACCACAUUGUAUCCCCCAUCAUCCAAUUCUUGAUCGUAUGGAUGAUCAUUUGAUGCUUUCAAGUGGAAUCCCUUCAACAAAACCCUAGACUCAGGGAGUAUUUCAAACCACUCCCAAUUGACCUCUUAUUUGAAGCGCAACUUAUAUUUCAUCAUACCCAUCUCAAUCCUUUAUUAUUUUCCAUCAUCACCUUGACAUCAUGAACUGAUGAUUUCUGUCACCAUAUUCAUCCUUGUGAGUAUAUGGUUACUUCACUCACCAUCUCUCCUAGCCUUGCUCUACCAUUGUCUAAAUCACCAUCACCACCAUCCUCUCUUGGACACAUCUUUUAUCAGGUCAGAAUGUCACCACCAUCUACUUUAGCACCCUUGUGCAUUAGUAUCACUUUGCCUAAAAUUGUAUAUCUUUUUAGGCCACCAUUUUAGUAAUUUGUGAGGCACUCAACCUUGGGUGUCAUGCAUGUGUAGCAAUUAUCUCUUGUUGAUCACUUGUGCAUGGCCAAAAAUAUGUAGCCGGCCAUGCCAUGGCACACAUGCAUCAUGCCUCUCCAUUUCCCUCUCUCUCACAUAAUUACUCCACCUUGGGAAGCCUCUCCUCCUUUGUCCCUUCCCAAUGCCACAAAUAAAUUCAGCUUGGGUCAAAUAUCUCUUCCCCAAACCAGCCUCCCAACUAACCCAAUCAAUGAAGAGGCUACCUCCCAACCAACCCAAUCAAUGAGGAGGCAGCCCACCCCCUCUCCCUCUAUAUAAAGGGGCUUGGCAGCCCACCCCCUCCUCACUUGCUCUCACUUUUCCACUCCCCACUCUUUCCUCCACUCCCACACACUCUCCUCCUACCUCUCCCCACGAAAUUGCUGCUCCUCCUAGCUUCAUGGCCGGCCAUGGCCAUGAAAAGCUCUCCAAGAUGAAGCUCUCCCCCCUCCCUCAAGCUCCCCCUCUCCAUGAGAGCAUCCCUCUCCUUCUUCUCCCCAAUCCUAGAUGGUUUUCUCUCCUCUUCUUCUUCCUCCCUUGCUAAGUUUGGAUCUUGAUGCAGGUACAUGUUGAUCCAAGCAUGGAGAAGCUUCACCUAUCCUCAGAUCUGAAGUUCUUGACCAAAAUUCGUCCAAAACCUUGCAGAUGUUAUCUACCAGGGGAUAUUUGGUUUAUACCAUGGUGAUACCCGAGAGAGGCAAUUGCUAAGUUGUGAUGCACUCAUACCUUUACUAGAUGCGAACAAUUCCGGAGAAGAAGUGGAAUCGAACGAGGAUUUUAUUUAUAUUGUUGGGAUUCUUAUAUUUAUGGAGUUGAAGAAGUCCGGGGACAAAUAAGCCAAGGCAAGCCAUCUUUUGAUCUCUGAUAUGAUGUCUCUUUGGAUGUCAUCUUGUGCUAUCAAUAGCAUCUUGGUUCUAUGUGUGAUGAUCUCCAUAUUGUUGUCAUCUAUGCUUGGAUGCAAGCAUGGUACCUCUAGUAGUUUUAUCUUGUCAAGGUCUUGGUAAUUGGUUGGGUGUAUGGUAUCAUGGCCAUUGCUAUCCAACUUGUUUUCUAUAUUUAGCUUGAAUAUGUUCCACCUCGGGACAAGAUUCAUACUACAUCCCUUCUAGUGUAGAUGUAUCAAUACCAUGUUUUUGGUGUAUUCUCAAAUUGCGAUGAGUAUGCCUGAUUCCCUUAAUGGUGUUGGUGUUGGUCAAUUCUCAUCCCUAUCUAUUGAUUGGGUUAGAUAGCACCACAAAUCUGAAAGUAUAUUUUCCUCUUGUGUUGUCAUAAUACAUGCUUAGCUCAAGCAAGUAUGAUCCACUCCAAUACCUCUUUUUCAUACCCUCAAUGGCGUGAUGACCCUCAUCUCGGCCAUAGUGUUGUAUUAGUUCAACUCAUGAAACUUUAGGUUGGGAACCCCUCAAGGUUUACCUUGUUGUAAAUGUUUAUGAAAACCUUGGGUGAGGCAAUCUUACCCAAGCGUAUGGUUUAUGAAAGGAAAGGAUCUUGACAAAGAUGGUUGGAAAGAGGAAAGUGUGUGACUUGGGUUUUUGAGAAAAACGACACAUGGUUCUUUGUAUUCGCCCGGAACAACUAAACAGCGCAACCAUAGCUACUCCAACGUGGGCACGGGGCUUAACUUGACGUUUGUUCUUCUUAGCAUGAGGCACCGCACAACUAUACAAGGGUACGGUUACCCCCGAGUCCGGGUUGUCAUGGUUGGGACAAUAGUAUAACGGGAGGCCUUCGGGGCUGACCCGUCCGGAAGACACUAUGGGUCUCCUGGCUUGGCGGUGGAGCCACGCUCUAGAGGAGGUGAGCUGCCACGGUGCCGGGGAGGUACAUACUCCAUAGGGUAGGACCUCGUGUUAAGUCGAAUGGGCGAAAGGUUAUGUCCGGGUAUCCGUCGUGGCAUAUGUCGUUAUGCGGGGAUGAUGCCCACACGAUAGGUAUCCGGAUAGUUGUGGUGAAAGUGUGCAAACUCUGCAGAGUCAAAACUAUUCGAAUAGCCGCGUCCGCGGUCAUGGACGGUUGGGAUGGCCGUUACAGAGCUGUGUCGAGUUUUGGUUUUGAAAAUGAUUUCCAAAGGAAAUGUGUGUUGGAAGUACCGGAAGGGUACGAGAAAGAUGGUGUGCCGACCAUGUGGAGAUGGUCGAGGAAAACGAAACAAAAGAGGGUGACCCUUCCUAGUGUUUCAUGUAGAGGAACUCUGCUUUAACAAAGAUAUAGAGAUGUCAUAGGACUUUCUUAGUGUCCCCUUCAACUGUGAUGUGGGAUGCUAUAUCCACAAGAGAAACUGAUUCUCUUUCACAUGCUAUAUCCACAAGAGAAACUGAUUCUCUUUCACAUGCUAUAUCCACAAGAGAAACUGAUUCUCUUUCACAUGCUAUAUCCACCAGAGAAACUAUUCUUCCUCUCUUGUCUUCUUUAGUUAGAAUUGUUAUCACCUUCUUGAUGGUUUGCGAGUACAAUUCAAAUGUACUCACGGCUUUGUCCCUGGCUAUUUACUUGGCCAGACCUGGAGGACUUCGACAGAUGAAGAAGGAGUUGACGACGUCUAUGCGAGCUAGGAACGUCUUCCCAGUCAGUUGCCUGUAGGGUUAAGGCAGAUAACUUGGGCUCUACGCUGCUGAAGUGAUUCUGCUACUCUGAUGAUUAGAUUAGGCCCUUCGAGGCUAUCUUGUAAAGAUGGGUCAUGUGACUUUAUUGUAAUUUUCUUAUUCCGUUUUGUAAAGGAUGAUGUAAUUUGAUAUCAGUUCGGUUAUGUGUUCA